GACGGAGGGCGCGAGCGUUGUUCGGAAUUAUUGGGCGUAAAGGGCGCGUAGGCGGCUGUGCAAGUCAGGGGUGAAAUCCCUCGGCUCAACCGAGGAACUGCCUCUGAAACUGCACGGCUUGAGACCGGGAGAGGGUGGUGGAAUUCCUAGUGUAGCGGUGAAAUGCGUAGAUAUUAGGAGGAACACCAGUGGCGAAGGCGACCACCUGGACCGGACCUGACGCUGAGGCGCGAAAGUGUGGGGGGCAAACAGG
rnacentral:misc_RNA from 1 species